AGUGAACGCUGGCGGUAGGCCUAACACAUGCAAGUCGAACGGCAGCACAGUAAGAGCUUGCUCUUACGGGUGGCGAGUGGCGGACGGGUGAGGAAUACAUCGGAAUCUACUUUUUCGUGGGGGAUAACGUAGGGAAACUUACGCUAAUACCGCAUACGACCUACGGGUGAAAGCAGGGGAUCUUCGGACCUUGCGCGAUUGAAUGAGCCGAUGUCGGAUUAGCUAGUUGGCGGGGUAAAGGCCCACCAAGGCGACGAUCCGUAGCUGGUCUGAGAGGAUGAUCAGCCACACUGGAACUGAGGCACGGUCCAGGCUCCUACGGGAGGCAGCAGUGGGGAAUAUUGGACAAUGGGCGCAAGCCUGAUCCAGCCAUACCGCGUGGGUGAAGAAGGCCUUCGGGUUGUAAAGCCCCUUUGUUGGGAAAGAAAAGCAGCAGGUUAAUACCCCGCUGUUCUGACGGUACCCAAAGAAUAAGCACCGGCUAACUUCGUG
rnacentral:rRNA from 1 species